GCCUGGGUGGCUCAGUCGGUUAAGCUUCUGACUUCGGCUCAGGUCAUGAUCUCAUGGUUUGUGGGUUUGAGCCCUGCGUCGGGCA
rnacentral:tRNA from 1 species